ACUUAGCGGCGGACGGGUGAGUAACGCGUGGGUAACCUGCCUUACACUGGGGGAUAACAGUUAGAAAUGACUGCUAAUACCGCAUAAGCGCACAGGGGCCGCAUGGCCUGGUGUGAAAAACUCCGGUGGUGUAAGAUGGACCCGCGUCUGAUUAGGUAGUUGGUGGGGUAACGGCCCACCAAGCCGACGAUCAGUAGCCGACCUGAGAGGGUGACCGGCCACAUUGGGACUGAGACACGGCCCAA
rnacentral:rRNA from 1 species